UACGUAGGGGGCAAGCGUUGUCCGGAUUCAUUGGGCGUAAAGAGCGUGUAGGCGGCCAGAUAGGUCUGCUGUGAAAACUCGAGGCUCAACCUCGAGCUGUCGGCGGAAACCAUCUGGCUAGAGUCCGGAAGAGGAGAGUGGAAUUCCUGGUGUAGCGGUGAAAUGCGCAGAUAUCAGGAAGAACACCUAUGGCGAAGGCAGCUCUCUGGGACGGUACUGACGCUGAGACGCGAAAGCGUGGGGAGCGAACAGG
rnacentral:rRNA from 1 species